GGCGGCGACCGGCAGAAGGGUGCGUACACGUGAGCAACCUGCCCGUGACAGGGGAUAACGAUGAAACGUCGCCUACACCCGUACACUGAAGGCAUCCUUUGAGUUUGAAAAUCCGAUGGUCACGGAUGGGCUCGCGGGACAUUAGCUAGUUGGCGGGGUAACGGCCCACCAAGGCGACGAUGUCUAGGGGUUCUGAGAGGAAGGUCCCCCACACUGGAACUGAGACACGGUCCAGACUCCUACGGGAGGCAGCAGUGAGGAAUAUUGGACAAUGGAGGCAACUCUGAUCCAGCCAUGCCGCGUGAAGGAUGAAGGCCCUAUGGGUCGUAAACUUCUUUUGUCGUAGAGCAAUAAGGUGUACGUGUACAUCGAUGAGAGUAUACGACGAAUAAGCAUCGGCUAACUCCGUGCCAGCAGCCGCGGUAAUACGGAGGAUGCAAGCGUUAUCCGGAUUUAUUGGGUUUAAAGGGUGCGUAGGCGGACGUAUAAGUCAGCGGUGAAAGGUACCGGCUCAACCGGUGAGCUGCCGUUGAAACUGUGCGACUGGAAUGCGGAUGCCGUGGGAGGAAUGUGUGGUGUAGCGGUGAAAUGCUUAGAUAUCACACAGAACACCGAUUGCGAAGGCAUCUCACGAAUCCGUUAUUGACGCUGAGGCACGAAGGCGUGGGGAUCAAACAGGAUUAGAUACCCUGGUAGUCCACGCGGUAAACGAUGAUGGCUAACUGCCGGCGAUAUAGUGUCGGUGGCCAAGCGAAAGCGAUAAGCCAUCCACCUGGGGAGUACGACCGCAAGGUUGAAACUCAAAGGAAUUGACGGGGGCCCGCACAAGCGGAGGAACAUGUGGUUUAAUUCGAUGAUACGCGAGGAACCUUACCCGGGCUCGAACGGCUGAGGAAUGAAUUAGAGAUAGU
rnacentral:rRNA from 1 species